rnacentral:rRNA from 1 species
CAGUCGCCACGGGAAAACGGAGGGUGCAAGCGUUAUCCGGAUUUAUUGGGUUUAAAGGGUCCGUAGGCGGACUUAUAAGUCAGUGGUGAAAGCCUGUCGCUUAACGAUAGAACUGCCAUUGAUACUGUAAGUCUUGAGUAUAUUUGAGGUAGCUGGAAUAAGUAGUGUAGCGGUGAAAUGCAUAGAUAUUACUUAGAACACCAAUUGCGAAGGCAGGUUACCAAGAUAUAACUGACGCUGAGGGACGAAAGCGUGGGUAGCGAACAGGAUUAGAUACCCCUGUAGUCCCUGUCUCUUAUAC